UACGGAAGGUGCAAGCGUUGUUCGGAAUGACUGGGCGUAAAGCGCACGUAGGCGGGUUCGUAAGUCAGAUGUGAAAUCCCCAGGCUCAACCUGGGAACUGCAUUUGAAACUGCGAAUCUUGAAUGCUUGAGAGGUUGGUGGAAUUCCUGGUGUAGGAGUGAAAUCCGUAGAUAUCAGGAGGAAUAUCGGAGGCGAAGGCGGCCAACUGGCGAUGCAUUGACGCUGAGGUGCGAAAGCGUGGGGAGCAAACAGG
rnacentral:rRNA from 1 species